rnacentral:rRNA from 1 species
CACCCUAGCCGGUGCUUUGGCUUUGUCG